rnacentral:rRNA from 1 species
UACAUCGGAACGUGUCCCGUAGUGGGGGAUAGCUCGGCGAAAGCCGGAUUAAUACCGCAUAUGCUCUACGGAGGAAAGCAGGGGAUCCGCAAGGACCUUGCGCUAUGGGAGCGGCCGAUGUCCGAUUAGCUUGUUGGUGAGGUAAAGGCUUACCAAGGCGACGAUCGGUAGCUGGUCUGAGAGGAUGAUUAGCCACACUGGGACUGAGACACGGCCCAG